rnacentral:lncRNA from 1 species
UUCUCAUCAGAUAUUCACAAAAAACAGGAUCAGUCCUUGCACGCAUAUUUUCUGAUAGUCUCAAUUUUUCAAGUUGAUUCCAAAUUCUGGAGUUUAAAAUACUUUCAGAAAUAAAGUCUUCCUUUUUUCCACUUCGGACAACAGGAAGCGUUUGCCUAAAAUCACCUCCAAACACUACGACUUUUCCACCAAAGAGUAUAUUUGUUUCAGUUAGGUCUUUCAUAAGCAAAUCAAAAGCUUCAAUCAUAU